rnacentral:lncRNA from 1 species
UGGACAUAAGGGGUUCUGCCUCAGGAAUGGAUGGAUUGAUGUACCACUUACAUGGUGAGCUUCCAGUCAGACAAAGCCCAUAUAAAAAAGGGUAGAAGGUAUAAAUGUAUGGGAGUCAGAAAAAGACUAAGUGUUACGUCAAUAUACCUGCAUAUUUUUUGACAAGUGUGCCAACAAAUAGCACAAUCUGUGGGGAAUUCUGCCCAUCUUCGUAUAUGCGCUCUCCUGGGAAUAGGGUGGCUUGGGCACCCCACAACACGACAUUGACCGAAGCACCUCU